GAGUUUGAUCGUGGCUCAGGACGAACGCUGGCGGCGCGCCUAACACAUGCAAGUCGAACGGAGUUAUUCUGAAUGAAGUUUUCGGAUGGAUUUUGGAUUAACUUAGUGGCGAACGGGUGAGUAACGCGUGAGUAACCUGCCCUGGAGUGGGGACGAACAGUUGGAACGACUGCUAAUACCGCAUAAGCCACGGUGCCGCAUGGCACAGUGGUAAAACUACCGGUGGUAUGAGAUGGACCGCGU
rnacentral:rRNA from 1 species